rnacentral:tRNA from 1 species
GGUGCCGUAGUUGAGCGGUACAAUGCCCGGUUGUCUCCCGGGUGACACGGGCCUGCCUGCCGGAAGGCAGGUUCGAUACCCGUCGGCACCG